GACUCCUGACACCGCCGCCGGCGAAAGCAACUUGGAGCGAAGGUGCCCCUAUCCCGUCGAGUGGGGGUGCCCCUCCCAGAGGAACGCACGUAGUGGUGGGCGACGACGGCGGCAGCGGCUGCGGCAGCGGCAGCGGCAACUGCUCUCUCUCCGUGGCGUUGUGCACCAUGGCGAUGACGACUACGAUGUUCCAGAUCAACCAGGUAAGGGCUACCAAUCUACCCUUUAUCCGGUUUAGAAAUCUGAAUCCUAUUUCGAAUUCAUCCUUUCCCUGUUCGCUUCAGGAUCUAAACCUCCUCUCCUUCCUGCGGCGAUUGGUUCCGGAGUCCGAGUUCACCGGCCGCAAACGCUUAACAUCCAGCGACCAGGAGGGCGAGCGGUUGCUCAUCUAUGGCAUGCAGGACGAGGCGGCAUGGUUGGGCAGAUGACGCGGCAGGUAGAUUGGAAGCGGGAAGCUGAUCCAUCAACGAAAUUAUGAUCCUGGUGCUUCUUUCCUCAGAUUUAUACAUUACUGUCUUUGUAACCUACAACUGCUUCACCUCACACUCACCCGUUCCUCUUCUGAACUAGGCAGCAGAACGACAACUUAGUUGUUGUCUAGGUUACCACUUUAUCUUCCUUUUUCCUGCACAAUUUCCUUGCAAUCCCCUUGCAAUCCCCUUGCAAUCCCCUCUUUUCAUCCAAUGACUCCAUUGUAAUAAUCUGUUUCCAAUCUGAAUUUUGGGCAGACAGUGUCCAUCCUGGUUCUGGUCAAUCUCUGAGGUUCAUUCUCAUAAAUUAGCUUGUAUUCUCCCUAAUGAUGCUUGGGUGGUUUUAGUUUUUAAUGAUGUGCGAUCAAGUUACCAUCACUAAUGUUGAC
rnacentral:lncRNA from 1 species